UACGUAGGUGGCAAGCGUUGUCCGGAAUUAUUGGGCGUAAAGCGCUCGCAGGCGGUCUUUUAAGUCUGAUGUGAAAUCUCGUGGCUUAACCACGAACGGUCAUUGGAAACUGGAGGACUUGAGUACAGAAGAGGAGAGUGGAAUUCCACGUGUAGCGGUGAAAUGCGUAGAGAUGUGGAGGAACACCAGUGGCGAAGGCGACUCUCUGGUCUGUAACUGACGCUGAGGAGCGAAAGCGUGGGGAGCGAACAGG
rnacentral:rRNA from 1 species